CCUACGGGAGGCAGCAGUGGGGAAUAUUGCACAAUGGGCGCAAGCCUGAUGCAGCGACGCCGCGUGAGGGAUGACGGCCUUCGGGUUGUAAACCUCUUUCAGUAGGGAAGAAGCGAAAGUGACGGUACCUGCAGAAGAAGCGCCGGCUAACUACGUGCCAGCAGCCGCGGUAAUACGUAGGGCGCAAGCGUUAUCCGGAAUUAUUGGGCGUAAAGAGCUCGUAGGCGGUUUGUCGCGUCUGCCGUGAAAGUCCGGGGCUCAACUCCGGAUCUGCGGUGGGUACGGGCAGACUAGAGUGAUGUAGGGGAGACUGGAAUUCCUGGUGUAGCGGUGAAAUGCGCAGAUAUCAGGAGGAACACCGAUGGCGAAGGCAGGUCUCUGGGCAUUAACUGACGCUGAGGAGCGAAAGCAUGGGGAGCGAACAGGAUUGGAUACCCUGGUAGUCCAUGCGUAACGUUACGGUCGACGUAGGUGGUGGGACGACUACCUACGUUUCCGUCGUCCGUCGACUACGACAUAGUCGCCCGCCGUCGGGAGGUACGGCCGCGACGGACGUAAACGUACGUAAGUUAGAAGUUAGUUACGGCGUGAGACGNGCCGACGGACGACGACGAGGGAGGAGG
rnacentral:rRNA from 1 species